GCUUCUUUGGCUCAGUUGGUAGAGCGUUGGUCUCAUAGUUAUAAACUUUGACCGCUUCUGAGCGGGUAAUCCAAAGGUCGCAAGUUCGAGCCUUGCAAGGAGCA